rnacentral:rRNA from 1 species
GACGAACGCUGGCGGCGUGCCUAAUACAUGCAAGUCGAACGCAUUUUCUUUCACCGUAGCUUGCUACACCGAAAGAAAAUGAGUGGCGAACGGGUGAGUAGCACGUGUGUAACCUGCCCAUCAGCGGGGGAUAACACUUGGAAACAGGUGCUAAUACCGCAUAAUUCCAUUUACCGCAUGGUAAAUGGAUGAAAGGCGCUUUUGCGUCACUGAUGGAUGGACCCGCGGUGCAUUAGCUAGUUGGUGGGGUAACGGCCUACCAAGGCUGCGAUGCAUAGCCGACCUGAGAGGGUGAUCGGCCACACUGGGACUGAGACACGGCCCAGACUCCUACGGGAGGCAGCAGUAGGGAAUCUUCGGCAAUGGACGCAAGUCUGACCGAGCAACGCCGCGUGAGUGAAGAAGGUUUUCGGAUCGUAAAACUCUGUUGUUAGAGAAGAACAAGGAUGAGAGUGGAAAGUUCAUCCCUUGACGGUAUCUAACCAGUAAGCCACGGCUAACUACGUG